rnacentral:rRNA from 1 species
UACUCCUACGGGAGGCAGCAGUGGGGAAUAUUGGACAAUGGGCGAAAGCCUGAUCCAGCAAUGCCGCGUGAGUGAUGAAGGCCUUAGGGUUGUAAAGCUCUUUUACCCGGGAUGAUAAUGACAGUACCGGGAGAAUAAGCUCCGGCUAACUCCGUGCCAGCAGCCGCGGUAAUAC